rnacentral:rRNA from 1 species
UACGUAGGGGGCUAGCGUUGUCCGGAUUUAUUGGGCGUAAAGAGCGUGUAGGCGGCCAUGUAGGUCCGGUGUGAAAACUCGAGGCUUAACCUCGAGAUGUCAUCGGAAACCAUUUGGCUAGAGUCCGGAAGAGGAGAGUGGAAUUCCUGGUGUAGCGGUGAAAUGCGCAGAUAUCAGGAAGAACACCAAUGGCGAAAGCAGCUCUCUGGGACGGUACUGACGCUGAGACGCGAAAGCGUGGGAGCGAACGGG